rnacentral:rRNA from 1 species
GAUGAACGCUGGCGGCGUGCCUAAUACAUGCAAGUCGAGCGAACAGAUGAGGAGCUUGCUCCUCUGACGUUAGCGGCGGACGGGUGAGUAACACGUGGAUAACCUACCUAUAAGACUGGGAUAACUUCGGGAAACCGGAGCUAAUACCGGAUAAUAUAUUGAACCGCAUGGUUCAAUAGUGAAAGACGGUUUUGCUGUCACUUAUAGAUGGAUCCGCGCCGCAUUAGCUAGUUGGCAAGGUAACGGCUUACCAAGGCAACGAUGCGUAGCCGACCUGAGAGGGUGAUCGGCCACACUGGAACUGAGACACGGUCCAGACUCCUACGGGAGGCAGCAGUAGGGAAUCUUCCGCAAUGGGCGAAAGCCUGACGGAGCAACGCCGCGUGAGUGAUGAAGGUCUUCGGAUCGUAAAACUCUGUUAUUGGGGAAGAACAAAUGUGUAAGUAACUGUGCACGUCUUGACGGUACCUAAUCAGAAAGCCACGGCUAACUACGUG